rnacentral:siRNA from 1 species
AUGUUAUUAGCUAAAAUGUUUAGA